AGAGUAAUUGUGGUUUCUGUCA
rnacentral:miRNA from 1 species